CAUCCCUCUGUCCUUGUCCCUGUGUGCACACUCCCGUGUCCCCGUCCCUGUGUCCCCAUCCCCCCAUGUCCCCGUCCCUCUGUCCCCGCACCUGUGUUCCCACUCCCAUGUCCCCAUCCCUGUGUCCCCAUGUUCCCGUCCUGUCUUUGUGUUCCCAGGUUCCCAUGUUCCCACAUCCCUGUAUCCCCGUGCCUGUGUCCCCAUCCCCACACCUAGGGAUGCCUGUCCUGUUUUGAGAGAGCUGUCCUUGCGGGCCCCCCCACGGCCUCUUCAGGGUGGGGGCCAGGGCAAGACUCAAGGACUUGCAGCCCUUCCCCAGGCUGUCCCCGCUCCCAUCCCUUCCUCUGUCAGCUCAGGGGCCUGAGCCCAGCACCCCUCCCCCACCCUGCAGACCGCCGGGUCCCCCCCCCAAACCAUCCGGGCAGCUCCCCUGUGCCUGGGGUGGCACCAGGAAGGUGCAUUCUGACUCCCUCUGGGCCUGUCCUGCCACACCUGGUGGCCCUGCGCAUGCGGGUAUGUCUGGGGGUCCAGGAGCCCUUCCCCCCACUGGCCGGGGCCACUGACUUUGGGAACAAAGCUGGGGCCUGAUCCCCCUCCACAGCCCACAUUUUUGGGGAGCCAGGCCCCAGCUUUGUCUCAACACAACCUGCUCUGCCCCUUUCAGACCUCAAGGCUGCCAGGAACCGGGGGUAGGGAUGGGGGGGGUCCCUAAGCAGUUCCACGGCUCUCAGCUCUGACUCAGACAACCCCUGCAAUGAUGGCCACGCUCGUGUGUGUCUCCUUCAAACUCUGUCUGACCUUAUGGGCUGUAAGUACACCCCCGCUGUUGUGCACCUGCCGUCCUAACCUGUUUCCAAGACCGCUUCGUCUUCCCGCACCAGAAACUCCCCUCGUUCGACAGCUCCUCGCCACCCUCCCCGGCCGGGUGCCCGCUGUUGUCCUUUCUGUCUCUGCGUUUGCCUGUUCCGACACCUCAUCAGUGGGAUCGCACAGAAUCUUCUUUUUGUGUCCACCUUGUCUCACUCAGCAUAACAUCUUCCGGGUCCACCCAUGUCGAAACGUGUUAGAAUCGCCUUCCUUUUUUUAAAAAAAAAAACUCAAUGAAUUGUAUUAUAUGUUAGUUUUAUUGCCUUCCUUUUUAUUUAUUUAUUUUUUCCUUUUCAGGGCCACACCUGCAGCACAUGGAGGUUCCCAGGCUAGGGGUCCAAUUGGAGUUGUAGCUGCCGGCCUAUGGCACGGCCACAGCCGCGCCGAUUUGUGCCGUGCCUGCGACCUACACCCCAGCUCACGGCAAUGCCGGGUCCUUAACCCAUGGAGCAAGGCCAGGGAUCGAACCUGCAACGUCAUGGUUCCUAGUCGGAUUCGUUUCCGUGGCGCCACGACGGGAACUCCCUUGCCUUCCUUUUUAAAGGUAAAUAGUGUUCCACUGUGCGCACGGGCCCCAUUGUGCAUGUCCAGUCGUCCGUCAGUGGACUUGGGGUUGUUUCCUCCUCUUGGCUGUGGUUAAAGAUGCCGCUGUGGACCUGGGUGUGCAAAUAUCUUUUCAAGACCCUGCUUUCAGUGCGGGGGACGUAUGCCCAGAAAUGGGAUUGCAGGAGCCUAUGGUAAUUCCAUUUCAUUUUUUGAAAAACUGCCAACCUGUUUUUCACAGCAGCUGCACCAUUUUACAUUCCACCCAGCUGUGCCCAGAUGCUCUAAUUUGUCCAAAUCCUCGCCAACACUUGCUUUGUUUGUUUGUUUGGGGGGCCAUGCCCACAGCAUGAGGAAGUGUCCGGACCAGGGAUCCAACCUGCACCACAGCAGCGACUCAAGCCAAAGUGGUGAUGCUGCUGGGUCCCUAACCUGCUAGGCCGCUAGGGACCUCCCAUUUGCCGCCCAGCGGUCUCCAUCCCAGUGGGUGCGAGGUGCUCCCUCUUCGCGACGGGGCUGUGCCUGUUCCGGAUGGUUAGGAUGGUUAGCGAUGUUGAGCAUCUUCUCAUGCGCUUAGUGAACACUUACGAAUCUUCCCUAAGGAAGUGUCUGUUCAGGCCCUUGCCUGUUCUCGAAUGGGCACAGGCUCUCCCCAAGCAGGUCCCAGUGCCGCCAGCUCUAGCCCACCUGCCGCUGUGUCCGCGCGCGUGUGUGCAGGUGUGUUACACUAGACAAGGCGCCCUGUUAACGUCCCACAAGAUCUUUUCAUUCCUUGUUUAUUCAUUGUCGAGUCUUAGGAGUGUUUUUGUUGUUGAAUUUGGGGUUUUGUUUGCUUUUGAGGAUUUUUUUGUUGAGGUUCAAGAGCUUUUGCUGCUGAGUUUUUAAACGUCUAAAAAUAUAGUCGGGUUAGGAAACCCCUAUCAGAUUUAUCGUUUGCAAAUAUUUUCUCCCAUUCUGUGGGCUGCCUUUUUACUCUUGAUUGUGUCUUUUGGUGCUCAAACAUUUUUUAUUUUGGCGAAGUCUUACUCAUCGCUCUCUGUCUUUCUUUUGCAGCACCGGCACCAAAUGGAAGCUCCCAGGCUACGGGUCGAAUUGGAGCUGCAGCUGCCAGCCUAUGCCACAGCCUCAGCAACACCAGAUCCAAGCUGAUUCCGUGACCUACACUGCAGCUUGCAGCAACACCAUAUCAUAAACCCACUGAAUGAGGCCAGGGAUCAAACCUGUAUCCUCAUGGAUACUAGUCAGGUUCUUAACCUGCUGAGCUACAACAGGGACUCCCAGGUAUUUCCCUUGAUUACCACGGAGAUUGCACGUACCAUCGCAGGUGUGUGACGACGGGCAUCAGAAGGACAAGGACGUGCCUCGUGUGCCCCUCAGCGCCCCGCCCUCUCCCCUCUGUUACUGUCUGCGAACUACACACCUGUGCGCGCGCAGUAAAAUUGAUGUGUGACCAUCGCUUAUGCGUUUGCCUUCGAAAUCCGGCAGCAAAUAAAAAGUGGAGUCAAAAC
rnacentral:lncRNA from 1 species